GGGUUGUGAGGUUAAGCGACUAAGCGUACACGGUGGAUGCCCUGGCAGUCAGAGGCGAUGAAGGACGUGCUAAUCUGCGAUAAGCGCCGGUAAGGUGAUAUGAACCGUUAUAACCGGCGAUUUCCGAAUGGGGAAACCCAGUGUGACUCGUCACACUAUCAUUAACUGAAUCCAUAGGUUAAUGAGGCGAACCGGGGGAACUGAAACAUCUAAGUACCCCGAGGAAAAGAAAUCAACCGAGAUUCCCCCAGUAGCGGCGAGCGAACGGGGAGGAGCCCAGAGCCUGAAUCAGCAUGUGUGUUAGUGGAAGCGUCUGGAAAGGCGCGCGAUACAGGGUGACAGCCCCGUACACAAAAGCGCAUGUGCUGUGAGCUCGAUGAGUAGGGCGGGACACGUGGUAUCCUGUCUGAAUAUGGGGGGACCAUCCUCCAAGGCUAAAUACUCCUGACUGACCGAUAGUGAACCAGUACCGUGAGGGAAAGGCGAAAAGAACCCCGGCGAGGGGAGUGAAAAAGAACCUGAAACCGUGUACGUACAAGCAGUGGGAGCACAGGUUUACCUGUGUGACUGCGUACCUUUUGUAUAAUGGGGCAGCGACUUAUAUUCUGUAGCAAGGUUAACCGAAUAGGGGAGCCGGAGGGAAACCGAGUCUUAAUUGGGCGUUAAGUUGCAGGGUAUAGACCCGAAACCCGGUGAUCUAGCCAUGGGCAGGUUGAAGGUUGGGUAACACUAACUGGAGGACCGAACCGACUAAUGUUGAAAAAUUA
rnacentral:rRNA from 1 species